rnacentral:lncRNA from 1 species
AAAUGCUAUUGUGGAGUAAAGAACAAGGAUAUGAGGCAACUACCGUAACUUCUUUCAGUGUUUCUGCUUGGAAAGAGUUAGGUGAUAAAUUGUUUGACGGUGCCACACGGGGGGCAAAAGAUGCUGCAGAACUUUUAACGACGUGGCGUCUGCUUUAUGAGACUCUGAAAGACUUUAAAGCCCAGCGAGAUCAGGCAGAGGGCACCACCUCUGCUUCUAAUACUUUCCAAAGUCUUACACCCCCCGUGCCACUUCCUUCAGAAGAACAGACUGAGGGGAAUAAACAAAUGAUGGAUGCUAAGGGAACAACGGGGAAUGUAAUGCCAGAAGGAGAAAAGAUUGUAGGUUCCGGAGUAUGCCCUAAAACCCGUGAGCUGCGGAGGAGGGUGAAGCUUUGGGCAGAUUCUGAUGAUGAGAUGUACACAAAAUGCUCUUUGGCAGCUCGUGAUAGAGCUUAUAAAACCCCCACAGAGCUGUUAAAUGAGCUGGAACUAGUGCCCUCGGUUGACACCUAUAAUUCAGCUCCAGUAGAGCCGUCGGCUCCACCACCUCCUCCUCCUCCUCCAGAUGAAGGAGAAACUCAACACUCUACGAACUCAUCUCUGUCUCAUGGGUUUCCCAGCCCUUGCGAUAAUCCACGCUCCUGUGUUGAUAACUGGGAUGGUGUAUGUGCACAUUUGCCUCAGGUAACACAAGAACCUCAAGAGCUGGAGUUGUUGGGAUCAGUCACAAGGGAUGCUUGUGUGAUGUUUAACUAUACCUAUAACACCACUCGAAUGGGUCAGAAUGUAAGUGCUACUUUGCCUGUGUAUAGAAAUGCUACAGCCUGGUGUAAUUAUGGCUUCAAGCUGGAGGGGAACAGAUUUAGACUGGAGAUUAGGAGAGGGUUCUUCACUGUGAGGGUGGUGGAGCACUGGAACAGGUUGCCCAGGGAGGGGGUUGAGGCCCCUUCCUUGGAGAUAUUCAAGGAGAGGCUCGACGAGGCCCUGGGCAACCUGGUCUAGUUGGGGGGGUCCCUGCUGACUGCGGGGGGG